AGCCUUUUCCUCUGCCCUGUGAGGCUGGGAAAGGUGUUGCCAAGGUGCAGCAAGCAGCUAGGCAGGAUGAGGAGGGCAGUCCCCUGGGGAGGACCACGCUCGCAAAGGGAAGUUAGGAGCAAGAGCUGGGAGAAAGAUGGCUUUCUGUAGCUUCCAUUAACCUUGCGGAAACCCCCCCACUUUGGGGUAGGGGGUGAAGGUAGUCAAGAACUGUUAGGUUUUCUUUUGGCCAGGGAUAUUUGCAAUAAAUGUCAUUCCCUUCUACAUCCAAUGCACAGUCAUUACCUAGGAACUUUCUCACUAUUUCGUGGGAACCCCGUUAAAACUUAAAGUUUAAAUAAAACAUGAGAACUCGGAGUGCAUAUUUAAAUGAACUCUGGCAUCCCUCAUAGAGUGGGGCGCCCGAGUCUGCAAACCCUUGGCCCGCGGGCCGGCUGUGGGGACGCCACACGUACCUCUCAGAAGUGACCCGGAUGCGCUCGUCGCUGGACGACUGCUGCUCGUCCUCCUUCUCCCGGAAGUGCUCCUGCACACACUGCUCCUCGAACUCAUGCAGUCUCUUCAGCUCCUCGUCGCUAAGGAAGAGCUCUGUGUGAAGGGAGAAGUGUCGGCCACGUGAAAAACAAGAAGAAUCAGUUUCGUGGCGUCAAUCGGCCGCUGAGACGCAUAAUGAUGAUAUAGAUGUGGCUUAAAAUGAUCAUCGGUGGGGGCAGGACUGGCCUGUCAUGAAAUGUCAUAAUCAGCUGAUAUCGCUGAAACUUCCACACCUGGUUGGAUAUUGAUUUUACUUCAAAGAAGGUUGACACAUCUAAAAGAAUCUUUGUUUCCAACUGGACUGACUUAUUGAGAGGAAAUAUUCCCUGCACCUCACCAGUGAAGACAGAAGACCUGGAAGCAGGAUGGGAGGCAUUUUAUACUUCAGCAUGAUAUGGGCCCUGACUUUCCAUUUUCUACAUGGAGACAUAUUUGUUGGUGCUGUCAUCCUCACGGGGAAACUAUGAAGUUGCAAACAUUGUGAUAACGGGAAACUUUUAAUAGUUUGCUGGAGUGUCUUCUACAUUCCUGGAAAUUGGAAAAUGUUACUUACUCCUCCCUGCCUCACAAAUUUCCUUCCUGAUUCUUUCCAGAACUGGGAAGUCAGAUGAGAGGACAUGCAGAUGAGUUGCCCACCCAGACACGCGAGCUGACCCUAGGGUCCCCUCAGUUAGUGGUGGCAUGUCCAGGAUUUGCUGUGGCCGCAGCAGGGCCCCAUCUCUGUGGCAGGGAAAGAGGCAGAGCUGGAGGUGGGGGUGGGUGAGGCAAAAGCGGGGAGUUAAGGGGCUGGGGGAGGACGUCUGAAGUGGGUCACCUGUCCCUGGUGGUUCACCAGGACGCCAAGAAAACUUCAGCUUCUGGGUCCCUCACCGGCACAGGCCCCUUUGGAAGGCUUGGGGGAGGGCUGCUAGAAGUUGAGUAUUUGUAAUUGGGCAUUUUUUUUUUUCCAAGAUCCCACCUCCCAAUCCUAUACAUUUUACCAGGAGACAGGCAGGCCCCCCCAGAUCCACUAUCCACUCCUCUAAGAAAGAUUAGAGCCAGGUUCUCAGACUUUGGGCUGCAACCUAAUCCCUGGGAAGCUGUACAGUGUGUGUUGACUCUACCCGAUCCAGAGGGUCUGGGGCGAGGCCCAAGGCUGAGAGGCUUCGAUGGCUUCCUGGCCCCAUCCCUGGCAGCAGCCUCUAUGGCUGGGCUCUCCUGUAGGCUGGGUGAACCUCAGGCCCUCAGAUGGUUCUGACCAGAAUUGAUGGGCAGCAGUGACUUCGACUGUAUCAUCAAUCAUGGCUGCCACAAGGUUGGGUGUCCAGGCCCACAGCUGACCCUUGAGGUGGGCCCCCACAUGGAGCUUUGCUCUGCCCCCAGUCCACCCUCAUUCAUCGCCCAGACCAUGGCCAGGGACCCAGCUCAUGUCCCAUGCCCUGUUCCCACCUCAUCACCAGUGCAACCACGGCCCCGAGACCUGCCUGGCAUGGGCUGCGGCUUGAUGCUUCGGGUUUCAUGAGAAGUGUCUUUCCUCCCGACUGACACGGUUGCACAAGCCACAGCAUGCCUGGCCACCCCCGCUGGUACUUCCUGCAGCUCGGCCAUUUCCCCCAGAGGCGCUCUGAUCUGCCCUCCUGCCUCCUCUCUUCCUCUUGUUAGCAGAGAGCCACACUCUAGGAGCUGUGUAGACCCGGGCCUCAGAGGGGGAUGGAGGAUGGCUUGCCAGCCAAGCUGGUCAAUUUGGUGAGCACUUCAGAACGAGAGGCCUGGAUUUGUUUCCCUAUUCAAAGAGUUUACUAUCUGGAUUUAGCCAUGCCCUUGUAAUGACCCCACCAAUUUCAUGAAAAAUGCAAUCUGUGAAUUUGCUCUUUAACUCACUAGUCAUCUCUGUUCAUUUAAAAAUAAAAUUAUAGUUCCCUAA